rnacentral:sRNA from 1 species
GUCAUCGAUGAUUGUGGAAAGGCAGAACAUGAGAGAGAAAGUGUGGUGACCUCCUUUGAGUGAGCACAGUAUGACAAAGAUCAGCAAAGUAAACCGGGCAUGGUAGUGCAGACUAUAGUCUCAGGACACAGGAGACUAAGGCUUGAGGACUGCUGUGAGUUUAAGGUCAACCUGGACAGUACAGAAAAACCACAAAAAUACCAAACAAAAUAAGUUAAGUAUUAAUAGUUUGUGCUGUGAGCUGGUGUAGAGAGAAUAGUUUACACAGAGGAAAAGAAGGUUUUACGGAGGUGACAUCAGAGGGGACUCAAGGGUGAAGAUGUCAUACACCCAGAGACUAUGGGUGAAAGAAGUGCACUGCUGUUCAACACCCAGCCACCAUGCUUUGAGAAGCCCAAGUCACAUGGAGAAGCCACAAGGAGGAUCCUCUGUUGAACACUCAGCUCAACUCACAGCCAGAAGUCUGUACUAACUGCCAGCCAAGAGGAUAAGAAAGAACAGGCUCGAUGGAGUUGGAGAGACCGUGUCAGCAUUAUCUAAGAAGCCGAUGACAAGAUCAGCGAAUAAACCAGUGGUUCUCAGC